CUCUAGAUAUAAGAAAAACAGUCUUUAAUGUGAAAACAGCAAAAUGCUGUUACUUGCCCGGAGAAAUGGAGGAAUCCUCUUGGCUGGAAAUAUUCAAGACAGCUGAGUUCAUGGCCCAGCUUUCAGUAAGAGAUUGAACCAGAUAAUCUGUCCUUCCAGCCUAGACUUGUCAAUGUUUCUUUGUUUUGAAUAUUUUCUCCUUAUAAUUGCCUUUCUGGCUGCUGACAGAUAAAGGACUUUAAGUUUUGAUUGUUAUCCAUUCUUUGCUUUCAAGAGAAUUCUUUUGAAUAUGGCAGACUAAACACCCACAUAAAGGGGAGAAAGUCGGGAUUCUGGUGUGUAGCAUGUAAUUUUGCAAGGCUAUUGUUUAGAUGGAAAAUAUGAUUUGCAUUUUGGAGUUGCCUGGAGUUGAGAACACCUUAACUUCUAAGGAAGAUUUGAGAAAAUUGUUUGGACAGCCUCUUUACACAGGCAUCAUGACUGACCCAUAGUGGAAUCUGCACACGUCAGUACAAACAGCAACUGUUUUCUAACCAGUGUACCUGGUGGUUGUUAGAACCGUUCCUCAGAGAUAAGAUUUUCAUCCUACUGAUUUGAGGAGUCUGGUUCAGACUGUCACUGGGAUCCAUAACAAAGAAAAAUUGAUCACAAGCUGCAUCAAGAAGUUUUGGUGAUUAAAAGGUGCAGAAAAUGCAGUGAGGCUUGGGUCUACAAUUUAUUUAAGACCACUUGCUUCCUGAGAAUACCUGGAUGCUUUUUAUCCCAUGCUGUGCUGGUUUUUGCUGUGGUAGACUUAAUUUUCUUCAAAGUAACCAUGACACAUGAUGGAGCUCUGCUGUCCUGGGAAUGGUUGAACACCUGCUUGCCCAUGGAAAGUGGUGAAUGAUUCCUUGUUUUGCUUUCCUUGCAUGAGCAGACUCUUCUUUACCUAUUAACUAUCUUUAUCACAACCCAUGUGUUUUCUCACUAUUGCCCUUUUGAUUCCCUCCCCCAUCCUACCACAGGGAAGUAAGUGAGCCAAUUUCACUGCAAUUGAAUAGAAUUUUUUCUUUUACUGUAGCAGUUCAACUCCCUGCAGUCUGGGAAUUAUACUGGAUUGUUACUAACCAAGGUGCUCUAUGCAGGCUGAUUUUCCAGUGGUGCUUGUCCUCUUAGUGCUACCCAGGCCACUGAGGUGCUUAAAAAACUGGCCAUAAAAGAAUUUUUUAUUAUUUUUUUUGUGAUUUAAGUUUGAUGUGGAAACACUAUUUUGUGAGACAUAUUUUUGAUAGUACUCCAAAAUAUUUAGGGGGCACUUCUCUGUAACAAUUAAGCUUGAAGCCAUAGAUUCCAUUUAUACUGCAUUUCUGAUACACAGAAUAUAUGCAUUUGAUAAAUGUGUGUGUACCUAUAAUCCACAGCCCACACAUGCCACGUAGAACUGUAUGUACUGUGUAAUGUGCAAACCCAUCAGGACACAUAUUUAGUCAUUCACAGAAGCAAAAUGUUCUCCACAUUCUUCAUUAACAGAUUUUGUAGAUGGUUAGGGUUAGUGUAUGGUUCCUAAGUGGUAGGCACCUUCUUACCAAAUGUCAUUAAUCUUUUAAAGUUUUUAUAAAUGCCAAGUAUUUGUCAAAGCAAGUAUCAGCUGUUCUCUGCUGUUGUACAUGCUUACACUGUGGAAGCCUCCUUAUUCUCGAUGUGUCCUUAUUGAUUAACAAAUAAAUGAUCCAUUAUUUUGUCUCCUGCUACUCCACAUAAACCACCCUUACCACUUUCCAGGUGGCCUGUUGAUGUGGAAUAAUUGCUAGGUGUUUUCCAAUGAAAUUCUGUUGGUUAAUUAAUUGUGAACAGUCUGCACAUUGCUUGUUUAACUGUCCUGAUUCCUGUAAGUAACCAUGUCCUUGUCUUGCCCUGACUGGAGAAAGGCAAUGCUGUAUCGCAGGUGGGAAGGAAGAGGGAAACAAGGAGACUGUUCCUGUAACUGGCACUUCUGAUUCGGGUCGUCUCAGAUCAAAUUCCAGUUACUACAAAGCCUUCAGCUGUGACUUCAACCAAAUCCUUUCAUUCACUGCAGGUCUCUCACAGAAUGGACUAUUUUAGAAUGGGGACUGGCUCUUAUUUUGUGCCUUAGAAACAGGGCUGAGAUUUUCCUGAGCUACUUUGCACCCUCCUUCAAAGAAAAGAAAACAAACAAACAAUAUUUCACAGAAGUACAAAUGUUUCACUGAAACAGAUAAUUUCACGGUAUUUCAGGUGUUGAUCGUGUCUAAGAGACUGUCAGCACGACCCCCCGCCCGUAUUAAUGCGCCGGGGAUGUAAGCCCUGUUGAGCGUCCCUAACACGCUCCGGGCAGAGCAGCCUGUUGGCUGGCGGGCGCUCCGCUCCCGCUCCCUGCUCCCGCUCCCUGCUCCCGCUCCCUGCUCCCGCUCCGCAGUGGAUCGUGCCGUCCACACUAAUCAGCACCGGCUCCCGUUGUUAAAGGGGCCGCCGCACCCUUCUCAUGUCCCAGAGGAGGGGGCCCGUGUGUUCCGUCCCCGGGGAUUCCGCAGCUCGACACGGUCUGACCGGGGCCGCUCCGCCACCCUUCGUGCUGCAGGCUGCUUUAACACCUUCUGUGCCCUUCAGAGUUGAAGCAGAGAUUUGUAGGGGAAAAUCCCAGCUGGUCCAGAUUCUCUGGACAGAAGGAAAUUGCAAGCACCUUUAUCCCUAAUUCUGCAAAAGGAAUUUACUUGUCCGAUUGCCUUUUCAUCCACACGUUGUCUUUAUCUGCACAGCAUCUAGUUCUGACCUCCCUUCCUCCUCAUUCCAUGUAUCCUUCUAGCAGGCAGUGCCACAAAAAAAUCCUUGCCUGUGCUUGCUGUCCUUUUGUUUGGAUUAAGCAGCUAUUAUUCCCCCUGUUUGAAUACCAUUUCAUUACUGCAAAUUGUUAAACUUGUUGAUCCAACGUAGGCAAGGCCCAUAUCUUCACCCUUGUGCUUUUCAGCCUUUCCUCAGCCUAAUGACUUGCCUCUCUGCUGUCCAUCCAUCCAUUUUAUACAUGAUCCUUGUAAUCCUUUCACUUCCCUGCCUUGGUUUCACAUGUAAUUCAUGGAUGCAAACUGGCUUUGUACAUUCACAUAACACUGCUUUUAAAGGAUUAUGCUUACUGAGAGUGUAGAGAGUUUUCCUUUGUUAAAAUCAUUCGUUAAAGUCCAUUAUGAAGUUAAGGGUGCAGUAAAGCCUAGAAGCUAAGUCCUUUGUCUUAAGCAUGAUUAUUAUAUAGGUAAUGCAGUACUGUUUGCAAAAUAUGGUCUUUAAUUAGAGGGUCUUCCUCUGCUAGAGCUGUCCUCACAUCUUGAUCUCUGAGUUAUCUUCUUGUUGAGCCGCUGUAAUAUAUGGCCAGGGCAAGACUUGCCCUGGCCUUUGCUGGAUGAUACAAACUCUGAUUUUCCAAGUACUUUCACGUAUGCCAAGGAAAUUUUUACCUGCUGAAUGAUUAGAGAACUUGAUUUCUGGGUGGAAACCAUCAGUGAUGAAUUUUGACUUGGUUAUGAUCUGAUACACUGCCAAACUUGAAGCUCUUACAUAUUAUACUGAAAUUAUGAACUUUGACCUUUUGAACAUUUCAUGCCACAGCUUUUCUAACAUGCAGUGGAUAAAACCAUAGAAUAAAUUAGAGUGAAAAGGUCUCAUUUAGGUCAACUACUGUGCACUAAAUGGUCAACUUCAAAGCUAGAAGGGCCUUGUAUAUAUAUCUUCUGAAGAUCUCCAAGAAUGAUAUUACUCAGUCUCUCUUGGCACUUCUUAGUACUGAAUCACCCUCAUAGAAAGAAUGAUUUUUUCCUUGAAUGUAGCUGAAAUUUUCCUUGGUGCAACCUCAAUGUUGUCACUUGUCCUUUUGGUGUGUUUAUAGGGAUGAACCUAGAUGUCACUUCUGUGAAGGAGCUGCUUCAUCUUUUCUGAAUUGUGGCCAUUCCAGUCUUCUCUGAAAUUAGCAAGCAAUCUCAUAAUUUCCUUCCUAAUGAAUUUUCCCUGUUGACAAAUAUCCAAAGUUAUCAAAAUCCACCCAUUUCCCCAAUUCAUAUAGUACUGACAGACAGAUAAAUUGAUAAAUAUUUCUCAGAAAAUCAAGUUUUACUAGCAGGCAAUUUUGCUCAAAGCUUGAAAGUAAACUGAGUUGUUACCUAAGGGCCCUGCUGAGAGACUGAUGCUGCACUGAUGUCAUGGGCCAGUUAAAAAUUCAGUUGCUUGCAAAGGAGUCCUGCCAUAUCCCUUUUCCAUUGGCCACUUGUUCUAGUCCCCCUCAUUGCAUCAGCACUGGCAUUCAGGAUGUCACCUGGACCCACUGGCUGAUCUGAGUGGGGCUCUCCUGUGUCAGCACGGUAUGGAGGCAUCUCAAGCUGUUUAUACAGCUGUACAGAUGGACUCAGAGCUCUGUUUCCUUUCUGUGGCCCAGGGAGACAGUGAGGGUUAGUAUCUCUGUGCCAGUUUAUCCUUAUGUGGAGCAGUGGUAAUAACAGGAACCAUUAUCAGUAAUGCAUUGUGAGAUAUGGCAGUAAAGAUGGCUAGGAAGUGGGAAGUGUUUGUAUUUAUAUGGAAACAAUUUCUUCUAUAGUCUUUACAGACAUAUGGGAAGACCCAGUCAGUUUAUAAUCUAAGGGUGAUUUUAAGACUUGUAUAAAGGGCAGAAUGUUAUAAUUGUAUUGAUCAGGUUAUGAAUAAUGCUCAUUUUUAGUAUAUAAUACUAAAUUGUAUGCAGUAUAUAAAUUGUAUAUAUAUUAUAUAAUAUGAAUAAUACUAAAUUGUAAGAUACCAAAAUAGUCAUACAAUUAGUCCAGUAAGAGUCUAAUAUUCUGAAAAAAAUGCAUAAAUCUAUGCUCCUAUGUCUGUAGGUAGGUGCACAGGUAUUGAUAUUUGCUGCUAACUGAAAAGCCAAAAAUGACUGUUUUCUAAUAUUUAUAAUUCUGAUUUUCUUACUGUUAUUGAGUUUUAUCAUGUCUUGUUUAGUCUGCUUUUCUGGAAAUAAAACUUACUUUAAACAGUC